rnacentral:lncRNA from 1 species
GCCAGGCCUGUCUUGCUUUUUUUUACAGUAAUACCUUGGUUGAAUUUAAGGAUGGAAACUACACACACAGAAUUCUUACACGCAUGAGAUAGCCAAGAUAACAACAACUAAUAUUUAAAUGCCGAGAACACUGACUGGUACCACUCGCACUCUUAAGGACAGCACCCUGGAACUACAUCGAUUCCAGUAACCAUCCCACGCUCUACCCACUUCACCUGCAACGUGCCAGAACGCGUCGUAGAGAGAUGGAGAUGCUGGAUGAGGAUUGCCAGGUAUCAAGCCAGCUCCAAGAGCUCUGAUCUCCCAGCCCUAGGCCCCAAACCCCAGGGCCCUGCAUUCACCCUCUGACCACCAAGAGGCGGCUGCAGAGUGAAGAGGAGAAGGAAGCAACACCAGAGGGGGACAGAACCACGGCUUUGAAAUACACGCUGACUGUUCAAAUAUCCUCCUCACCACUGACCCUGCCUCCUUCCUAUUUACAGCCAACUAUCUGUGAAGAUCCUUUUCUUUUGUCCCCUGAAAGGUCACCAGUGACCCUUGGAGACCAGCCUGAGAUGCCAGGGACCAGGGUCCCAAGCCAUCAUCCCUGGCCCAAUGCUCCUGGCCAAGGUGAGCAGCAUCUCCGCAGUUCCUUAUCCCUCAUGGGAAAGGCUGUUCUCAAGGGAAACCAUCACCAGCUCUGCUGAGGGCAAUUCUGCCCCAAAGGGUCUCCUAGGUCUCAAGUAAGUGUCUUUAUUAUUUCUGACAGUGUUGAGUUGCGCCAGACUGAAACACAUACCUCCAAAAGGGAAAAUCACUUUAUUUUUAUUUUAUUUGAGUUUACUUAUUCCUAAGGGACUUGAUGAUCUCGCUGUCCAUGACUGCUUCCUGAACAUUCCUACGUUUGAGGCAAGACUUUGGACGCCUCCCCUCUGGGGAAGGUAUCUGCUCUGCAGAAGUGGCCUUGUCUUGGCAACAUUCCCUUCAAGGAUGCUAAUGCCUUAGGGCAUGAAUUACUUGCUUUGGGGUACUAGAGAAGUACCAGAAGCUUGGUAUGGGCUGAGCUAUCCUGAUGGCAUUUUCAGAAGGAGAGGUACGUGAAGUUAAAGUACUUGCUGCUCAAUUUCAGAUAGAUAGUACUUUGUUUGUACUGCAAAUGGCAUAAGCAGGUCUGUCCUGCAGGAUGCUGGGAAGAUGACUGCAUAACAUUCGUGGGAUAGAGAAGCCAAGUUCUCAAGUCUUCCGAUGAAGGUGACUCUGGCUUGUGUAAUAAAGUAUUGGCAGAGAUAGCCGAGGCCAGCAUGCAUGCUAGAGGUUCUGCAAACACUGUCAUUCGGCAGUGUACACGAUGAUUAGUUGUCUCAUCAAGGAGAGCUUAGAAGAGGUCCCUGCAGAGAACCACCCACUCUGGCUGAAGGACCAGCCUUUGUGAUCCAACCAGCACACCUCCUAUUAUGAGGUCAUGUCUUGCUUAUCCUGAGACCGCUGGUUGGCAGAGGUCUUGAACUAUUAAGAGUACAUGAAGUUAAUCUAUUUAUUUGCUCAUCGAUCUCUUUUUAUGAAACACUGUAGAACCCUGAGGUGCAAGCAGCAUCAUUUGAGAUGCCUCUGAGGCAGGAUAAUGCGUGGGAGAGACGCGUUCUUCCCGACACCAUCCUGGUCAUUUGGGGCUGGCACCAUGAUGGCUCUGGAAUGUUGGUGGCUGUGCCCAGUGACAGGCAGGAGAGAAGUGAUGGUUCCCCGUGGGGCCUGCGAUUCUUGGUGAAGCAGCAGUUGUUUCCAGGAGGAGACGUGUGAUGAGCAUUCAUGAGAGCCCUCAGGGACAUCAGAAAAUACUGGAUGGAAAGAGUUUGCACCAAGUGGAGGUUUUACAUUGCAAGUAUGGGCUGGAGCCAACAAGUCUCUGUUAUGAUUUUAAUAGUUGCCACUGUACACAGAGGAGGAUGAAGUCUGGAUGAAAUUUGGGCCACAUGAAUCUAUUGGAUCCUAGAUACCAGCAUUCUAUUUAUCUGAAUAAGAUAAAAUUCAUGGCAAUUCAACCUACUUCUGGAGAAAGACCAGCUGUAGACAGCAAACAGUCUCAAUAGAAUCUUUUAGAAGAAAUAUAUGAUGUAACUCCAAUUUAUAAAUAACAGAAGGUUUCAAGUCAAAAUCCUAACCAAUCUGCUUUGAUCUCAUUGAACAAGACUCGCUUGCAAUGAAUGACUGAAGUGGAUAUAAAACAUGAGUUCACUUAUAUGUGUCCCAUGAAACUUUUAUUACUCAUUUAUCCUUCUUACCUAGAACAAUGAACAUCAUCGCAGUGACAACCAUGCAGAAUUAGCAGAACCUGAAUUACUCCAGAUAUUCUCAUUCUUAAGUUCUGCUCAGGAAGUGUAUAUUCAUGCCAAGGCCAUGGCACUCAGGGACUUUUAAAUAAUUCUCAGGAAGAAAGAAACUGCAGAGCCCAAGUGGAAUUCUGGAUAUAAUGAAAUCCUGCCCCAGCCUGGUGGCUUCUCUCAGAUCUUUCCUCCCGGCUUGCCGCUUCAUCGUCUCUGAACCUCCUGUGUCUCCUUCGUGAUAAACUUGCAUUUUUAGAACAUUCCUGUGCUUUUCCAUGAGUGUGAGUGAGUGUUUCAGGUCAGGACGAGCCACCUCCUUCCACCCCUGCUCCCUGCUCCUGACCAGUGGUCUUUCCAGCACUCAGUUGGGGAUCCCGAAUAUGGUUCCAGGAGGCCUGGUGAAGCGCCGAUGCCACCAAGACUGUUAUUCCCCGAGAUGGAGUCCUCGGGGCUUGCCCAAUGCCACCAAGACUGUUAUUCCCCUCAGGGCUCGCCCGAUGGGCUCAGACUGGCAUGACCGUGGCUGUGUGUGUUACUUCAUUGACUGGCAGUCUGGAAGGACUCCCCCUUAUCAUGUGAUGGUGACAAGAAAGAUGAUUUGGCGGCUUUGGACCUGGAGCUGGGAGGCUGAGUGAGGAGGAUGAAGGUGCCUUCCUACACAUCCCUGCCCGCUCUGCAGGCUCGGGGCACGCACCCCUCUAUUCACUACGCCCUGAACACGCUGUGAGCUUUCGUGCCUCUCCUGCAUCGGUGCUCAUCCCAGGUUUCAAGUCAGAAAUGCCCUUUCAUCUCUGUCUAUGGAAAUUGUUUCAUGUCCUGCUCAAAUCCAUGAAUCCACUCAUUAUCAUCCACUACUAAUCCUUGUCAUUCAGAAAAACAAGGGGAAAAGUCUGACAGAACUAGCAACCCCAAGGGACUUGUGUCCUUAGAAAUCACCUGCCUUUUCCUAUUUUUAUUGUGGUGAAAUAUACAUAAAAUGUCCUAUUGUAACCUUGCAACUAAGCGCACAGUUUAGUGGCAUUGCGCCCGUUCACAUUGUUGUGCAACCAUCACAUCCUUUAUCUCCAGAACCUUCCCAAACAAACAAACUCUACCCAUUAAGUAACAACUCCCCACUCCCUACUCCCCCGGCCCCCGGUAACCACCAUUCUACUUUGUGUCUCUAUGAAUUUGCCUGUGCCAGGUACCUUGUAUAAGUGGAAUCAUACAAUAUUUGUCCUUUGGGGUGUGGCUUAUGUUACUCAACAUGCUUGCAAGGUACAUCCGUGUUAUAUUAACAGCAUGUAUCAGAAUUUCACACUUUUUAUGAGUGAAUAAUAUAUUCCAUUAGAUUUGGAAGCAACCUAAAUGUCCAUCAACAGGUGAAUGGAUA